GGUGCUGUAGUGUAGUGGUUAUCAUGCGACGUUGUGGCUCCCCACAGCUCCGUCUCGACCUGGGUUCGAUUCCCAGCAGCGCCA
rfam:Aspergillus fumigatus Af293 chromosome 4, whole genome shotgun sequence.